rnacentral:lncRNA from 1 species
UAUUAUUUUUUUACAACUUAAGGACCUUAUAAAAAAUACCCAAUUAAAUAAAAAAUAUUUCUAAAUCUAAAAACUAAUAAGAAAAUACUCAAAAAAACACUAAAUCGAGUAAGGUCCUAAUCGACGAUCGACGAUCGACGAAAAUCCUAAAAAAACUACUGAAAAUCCUAAUCAACGAUCGACGAAGGAAAAAGGAUCGCCUAUCACGAAAGAAGGAUCGCCACUGCUUCCGCGAUUUCCAGAAAUCGCGUUUCCUGACCGUGAGUUCAAGUAUUUCCUGGGCGCUGCUUCCGCGAUUUCAAGUAUUUCCAGAAAUAGCUCAUAGCUAUUUCAAGUAUUACAAGUAUACCUAUCACUUGUGAGGUACUAGCUGAUAGCAAUUAAAAUUCUCUAAUAGUUCCAGUCUGAAAAUUAAAAUAGCUAUGAGCUCAUCGAAUUGAGAAAGGAAAAGAUUGGUGUGUGCUGAUUUCAUUGGAUUUAGAAUAGACAGAUCGAUUGAGAGAACACAAAUGUUGUUGGUGAUUGAUUACUGGUUAUAGAUUACCAGUUUCUCUCUUUGAUACACAAAGUUAGGUAUUUCAGAGUGGGGUGGGCGAAUUUUCAGAGUUAGGUAUUUCAAAUACC